GCAAUGGACGAAAGUCUGACCGAGCAACGCCGCGUGAGUGAAGAAGGUUUUCGGAUCGUAAAGCUCUGUUGUAAGUCAAGAACGUGUGUGAGAGUGGAAAGUUCACACAGUGACGGUAGCUUACCAGAAAGGGACGGCUAACUACGUGCCAGCAGCCGCGGUAAUACGUAGGUCCCGAGCGUUGUCCGGAUUUAUUGGGCGUAAAGGGAGCGCAGGCGGUCAGGAAAGUCUGGAGUAAAAGGCUAUGGCUCAACCAUAGUGUGCUCUGGAAACUGUCUGACUUGAGUGCAGAAGGGGAGAGUGGAAUUCCAUGUGUAGCGGUGAAAUGCGUAGAUAUAUGGAGGAACACCAGUGGCGAAAGCGGCUCUCUGGUCUGUCACUGACGCUGAGGCUCGAAAGCGUGGGUAGCGAACAGGAUUAGAUACCCUGGUAGUCCACGCCGUAAACAAUGAGUGCUAGGUGUUAGGCCCUUUCCGGGGCUUAGUGCCGGAGCUAACGCAAUAAGCACUCCGCCUGGGGAGUACGACCGCAAGGUUGAAACUCAAAGGAAUUGACGGGGGCCCGCACAAGCGGUGGAGCAUGUGGUUUAAUUCGAAGCA
rnacentral:rRNA from 1 species